rnacentral:rRNA from 1 species
CCUGAGAAACCCAAAAGAUCGAUCGGGGAGAUUCAUCGUCAGCGUAUCUGGUACGUGGAUGGUUCGCGAUGCCGCUGGAUUUCGGUCAAGCGGCACGCGUCCGUUCAUGUUUCAAUUGCCAGGUAACGUCGGCGUGCACUUCUCCCCUAGUAGAACGUCGCGACCCGUUGGGUGUCGGUCUACGGCCCGGAUGGUAGACUGUCGUGCGUCGCGCCCCGUGCCGACGCGCGGCAGACCACCGGUCGCCCGACCGGCUGCCCGGCGAUACUCGCACGGUAUCGAGCCGCAAUUAUUUCGAACUGCGUCCGUCCCGCCGCAAGCGAGGUCAGUGCUACCCGGACGUACGGACCUAGCGCCGUCGCCGGGCCUGACCGGCUGUUGGCCGGCGGUGUCCUGGGACUGGCUCAUACAAUUAUGAUACCGGUCGGCGAC